GGGCAAAANCGAGAAUGGUGUCACAAGACGAGAAGACCCCUGUGGAACUUCAAAAUCACGACCACCUCGACACUAACCCUAAUUCCACUGGACUCACCAGCACAAAACACCUGGUCGACAUUUUUCGGUUGGGGCGACCUUGGAGAAAAACAAAUCCUCCAAAUUACAGACCACAACUCUUCACCAAGACCUACCCCUCCAAGUACUAAUAGUAAUCAGACCCAAUACAAUUGACCAAUGGACCAAGCUACCCCAGGGAUAACAGCGCAAUCUCCUCCAAGAGCCCAUAUCGACAAGGAGGUUUACGACCUCGAUGUUGGAUCAGGACAACCUAAUGGUGCAGCCGCUAUUAAGGGUUCGUUUGUCCAACGAUUAACAGUCCUACGUGAUCUGAGUUCAGACCGGAGCAAUCCAGGUCGGUUUCUAUCUAUGAAUACACUCCUCCCAGUACGAAAGGACCGGAGAAGUGGGGUCAAUACUAUAAGCACACCCCCCCUUCUAAACAAUGAACUCAASUUAAUUGUCAAGAAGACUCCCAACACUUAUCCUAAACCCGUAGAAAAGGGCUAGCU
rnacentral:rRNA from 1 species